UUCCGGUUGAUCCCGCCGGACCUGACUGCUAUCGGAUUGAUACUAAGCCAUGCGAGUCAUUGCAGCAAUGCAAGGCAGACGGCUCAGUAACACGUAGUCAAUCUAACCUGUGGACGGGGAUAAUCUCGGGAAACUGAGCAUAAUACCCGAUAGAUCAUUAUGCCUGGAACGGUUUAUGGUCAAAAUGGUUAUCGCCACAGGAUGGGACUGCGGCCUAUCAGCUAGUUGGUGAGUUAACGGCCCACCAAGGCGAUAACAGGUACGGGCUCUGAGAGGAGAAGCCCGGAGAUGGGUACUGAGACACGGACCCAGGCCCUAUGGGGCGCAGCAGGCGAGAAAACUUUGCAAUGUGCGAAAGCACGACAAGGUUAAUCCGAGUGGCUUCUGUUGAAGUUGCCUUUUGACAGUCCUAAAAACACUGUCGAAUAAGGGGUGGGCAAGUUCUGGUGUCAGCCGCCGCGGUAAAACCAGCACCUCAAGUGGUCAGGAUGAUUAUUGGGCCUAAGCAUCCGUAGCCGGCUCUGUAAGUUUUCGGUUCAAUCUGUACGCUCAACGUACAGGCUGCCGGGAAUACUGCAGAGCUAGGGAGUGGGAGAGGUAGACGGUACUCGGUAGGAAGGGGUAAAAUCCUUUGAUCUAUUGAUGACCACCUGUGGCGAAGGCGGUCUACCAGAACACGUCCGACGGUGAGGGAUGAAAGCUGGGGGAGCAAACCGGAUUAGAUACCCGGGUAGUCCCAGCUGUAAACCAUGCAAACUCA
rnacentral:rRNA from 1 species